rnacentral:antisense_RNA from 1 species
GAGUCGACGACCUCGUGGUCAUAGGCCUUG